GACGAACGCUGGCGGCGUGCCUAAUACAUGCAAGUAGAACGCACAGGAUGCACCGUAGUUUACUACACCGUAUUCUGUGAGUUGCGAACGGGUGAGUAACGCGUAGGUAACCUGCCUGGUAGCGGGGGAUAACUAUUGGAAACGAUAGCUAAUACCGCAUAAGAACAUUUACUGCAUGGUAGAUGUUUAAAAGGUGCAAAUGCAUCACUACCAGAUGGACCUGCGUUGUAUUAGCUAGUAGGUGAGGUAACGGCUCACCUAGGCGACGAUACAUAGCCGACCUGAGAGGGUGAUCGGCCACACUGGGACUGAGACACGGCCCAGACUCCUACGGGAGGCAGCAGUAGGGAAUCUUCGGCAAUGGGGGGAACCCUGACCGAGCAACGCCGCGUGAGUGAAGAAGGUUUUCGGAUCGUAAAGCUCUGUUGUUAAAGGAAGAAACGAGUGUGAGAAAUGGAAAAGUUCAC
rnacentral:rRNA from 1 species